rnacentral:rRNA from 1 species
UACGGAGGGUGCAAACGUUGCUCGGAAUCAUUGGGCGUAAAGGGCGCGUAGGCGGCGCGGAUAGUCGGCGGUGAAAGCCCGGAGCUCAACUCCGGGUCGGCCGUCGAUACUUCCGGGCUUGAGCACUGUAGAGGCAGAUGGAAUUCCGGGUGUAGCGGUGGAAUGCGUAGAGAUCCGGAAGAACACCGGUGGCGAAGGCGGUCUGCUGGGCAGUUGCUGACGCUGAUGCGCGACAGCGUGGGGAGCAAACAGG